UUAGCCUACUGCUCCUUACUGCACCAUUUUCACUCUAUAAUUCCUCAGAAUUGUAAACGGAGAUUCUUCUUUAGAAUAAGGAUUUGAGAUAUUUUUGGUUCUGCAAGAGAUGAAUGCACUUCAUGGGCCCCUAGCACAUAGGCCUACUGUAGCUGUUGUAAACCUGCACAAUAUAAGGUAGGCUACAGAAUUUAAUUGAAUAUAUUAAAUGAAUAAAACUCCCAAGUAAAAUAAAGGAACAAUCAAUAGAUAAAUAAAUAACACCACCAUAAAAAGCCAUUUUGAAAAUAUGUGCUUUUGUGUAUGUUUGUGGACUGGGGCCAAAACAAUAGCACUUGCAGAAUGCAAACAUUAUGAAUUGAAAUGUUGUGCACAGCAGUAGUUAGAGUUCAAGUUACAUUAUUGUAUACAGUAAUAGAAUAGAGCAGCCUUUGCUCGACAAAGUGCAUUCAAUCUUACAAUUUAUCACUGACAACUGAACAGUUGUUAUGGGUCGCCUUCUGAUACAAGUGCCAGAAAACACUCAUACUGGUCAUCGUGGGAGGAAGGACAAUCAACGUAUUUCAUCAGUGAGAUCGCCACGUCCGUCUGGGUCCGUUUUUCUACCUGGAUCUUCUAACUCGUCACUGGAUACCUGGACAUCGCCAUCUUCCCCAUGCCUGAGGGGGCUGGACAGGCACCCCAAGGGAUUCCGGCGCCUUUGCUCAAAGGCACCUUGGCAGUGCUUCGGACGUGAACUGGCACCUCUCCAGCUACCAGUCCACACUUGGUCUCACAUCGCAUCCAGAUGAAGUGAUCCAACCACGCUGACUGUGUUACUGCACCGAGUUGGCUGGACUUUUACUAUCUCAUCUCUCUCUCUCUCUCUCUCUCUC